UCACUUUGUCCGGACUCUAAUUCAAAUUGUAUUCAUCCGAUCUUCACCAAACUUGGUCAGCAGUUGCAUCUAGUUGAUAUCUAGGCCAAGUUCGAAUAUGGGUCAUGCCGGGUCAAAAACUAGGUCAUAGGGUCAAUAAGUGCAUUUUCAAAGGGGCCACUUUGUCCGGACUCUAUUUCAAAUUGUAUUCAUCCGAUCUUCACCAAACUUGGUCAGCAGUUGCAUCUAGUUGAUAUCUAGGCCAAGUUCGAAUAUGGGUCAUGCCGGGUCAAAAACUAGGUCAUAGGGUCAAUUAGUGCAUUUUCAACGGCGCCACUUUGUCCGGACUCUAAUUCAAAUUGUAUUCAUCCGAUCUUCACCAAAUUUGGUCAGAAGUUGUGUCUAGAUGAUAUGUAGGUCAAGUUCAAAUAUGGGUCAUGCCGGGUCAAAAACUAGGUCACGAGGUUACUUAGUGCAUUUCAAGCAUUUAGCAUGGUGUCCGCUCUCUAAUUGAAGUAGUUUUCAUCUGAUCUUCACCUAAUUUGGUCAGAAGUUGUGUCUAGAUGAUAUGUAGGUCAAGUUCGAACAUGGGUCAUGCCGGGUCAAAAACGAGGUCACAUAGUGCAUUUCAAGCAUUAAGCAUGUUGUCCGCUCUUUAAUUGAAGUAGUUUUCAUCUGAUCUUCACCAAAUUUAGUCAGAUGUUACAUCUAAGUGAUAUCUAGGUCAAGUUCAAAUAUGGGUCAUGCCGGGUCAAUAACUAGGUCUUGAGGACACUUUCAAGCAUUGAGCAUGGUGUCCAAAACCUUCGAACGGGCGUAUCUUGUGACAGUUUGGCACUCUUGUUGUGUAAUAUAUUAAGUGUAAUAUGAAGUGGUAUAAGCUAUAUUAAGUGUACUAUGAAGUGGUAUAAGCUAUAUUAAGUGUAAACUUGUGUAAUUACUGCAUUCCUUUUUUUACUUUGUAUUUUUUUAAAGUACAGCUUAUGGUACAUUAUGUAGAUUGUUUUGUUUCCAUGUACAUUUGUAAAGUUUAUGGCUGUGUUACAAAAUAGAACUGUAAAAUGUUGUGAAUUAUCAUUACUACCUUGUCAUCUAGACUUCAAUAAUAUUUGCCAUAAAAACAGACAUGCAGUGUUGCAUUUUGAAAUGGAACAAAUGUGCUGCAUGUACGUUCAGUGUUGAACAAUUCCACAAGCCCUGGUUGUGUUUCUUUAAAAUCAUCUCUCCAAAAGUUGAAAAAGUAUGUUAGAUAUAAUGAAAUACUCCAUUAUUUAUUCAAUCGUGUAAGAAAAUGUCCAUUCUGUAACACCAAUGUCUAACAGUAUAAUCCUUUGUGUUAACCCUUUACCACUUAGAUACGUAUUUUGACGCAUUUGUAGUCCCUUAGAUAGGUAAAUUUAAAUAAAGACCUUUCUUAUUAGAUUCAAGUUUUUAAGGCUUCAUUUCCAACCCUUAGAUACUGAUGAGCAGCAAACAGCAUAAAACCUGAACAGACUGCGAGUUACUCACAGGCUGUUCUGGUUUAAUGCUGUUUGCACAAAGCCAUUUUCACUUUGCUUCUGAGUGGCAAAGGGUUGACAAUCUACAUUUUGAAUCUUGGUUACACAUAAACAUCAAUUUUGCGUCAAUCACAUACAAACGUCAUUCUGUAUUAAAAAAUAUUUUAAAUAUCUGUUACAGUCUUUGUGUGACGUAUUUAUAUAUUAAAGAAAUAUGGCUGCUAAGCUCCAAUUUCUAUAAAUACUCAAUUUCCAUCUUUUAUGAAUUUCAUUUACCUAUAUUAUCUGAAUUUGUAGGGUUAUGCUUUCUUACAACAGGAUGCUGGUACAGACCUACAGUAUGUUGUUAAAUAAAAAAAACCUUUAGUGCUAAGACAGUGUUUAGUGGAAAUUGUGAUAGUAGCAGUACAUAUGUAGCAUAAAUUGGCUGUGUAACAAAUAUAUGACUGUAACUGUAAAAAGUGAGUUAGCCAUGUAGUUACGUUUGUACAUGUAGUCGACAUCAUCUUUUUCGCACAUUUCAUUUUUGUGAAUCAAAUGUGAACUUGAAAUCUUUGCAUUAUACCUAACUUGUAGUUAAUGAAUAGAUAAUAAAUCUUUUUUAUUAAUAUACAUUCA